UGGGGGGCCAUGGACGGCCGCGGGAGAGCCGGAGUUUGAUCAUGGAUAGGUGGUUCGAAAACUAAACAUGCAAGUCGCAGAAGGACCUCUUGGAGGGGCGAGUAAAGUGGCGCACGGGUGAGUAACGCGUGGUGAAUCUACCCUUGGGUUUGGAAAAACGGAAACGAAAGGGGCGCUAAUACCGGAUAAGAUCGGGGUGUCCACGGGGACUGGGGUAAAAGUGGGCCUCUAGGUGGAAGCUCAUGCCUGAGGAUGAGACCGCGUCCCAUUAGCUUGUUGGUGAGGUAACGGCUCACCAAGGCCGCGAUGGGUAGCUGAUCUGAGAGGAUGAUCAGCCACACUGUUUAUUGGAACACGGCCCAGACUCCUACGGGAGGCAGCAUUGAGGAAUUUGUGCAAUGGGCCCACACCCUUUUUGUAUUUAUAGCCGCGUGGGUGAAGACAAAGCCUUCGGGUUGUAAAGCCCUGUCAGGUGGGAAAGAACCGCAGUCUGGCCAAAUACCUGGGACUGCUUGACGGUACCACCAAAAGGAAGCACCGACUAACUCCGUGCCCAGCAGCCGCGGUUAAAUACGGAGGGUGCAAGCGUUGUUCGGAAUUAUUGGAGGUAAAGCGCGUGUAGGCGGAACCGGGUAAUUGGGAGUGAAAGCCUUGGGUUCAACCCAGGAGUUGUUUCCAAUAAUGGCGGUCUUGAUUUCCGGAAAAGAGUGGUGGGAAAUUCUUGGUGGUAAAAGUUAAAAUUUCUAAAAUAUUGGAUG
rnacentral:rRNA from 1 species